rnacentral:rRNA from 1 species
UGGGGAAUAUUGCACAAUGGGCGCAAGCCUGAUGCAGCCAUGCCGCGUGUGUGAAGAAGGCCUUCGGGUUGUAAAGCACUUUCAGCGGGGAGGAAGGCGGUGAGGUUAAUAACCUCAUCGAUUGACGUUACCCGCAGAAGAAGCACCGGCUAACUCCGUGCCAGUAGCCGCGGUAAUACGGAGGGUGCAAGCGUUAAUCGGAAUUACUGGGCGUAAAGCGCACGCAGGCGGUCUGUCAAGUCGGAUGUGAAAUCCCCGGGCUCAACCUGGGAACUGCAUUCGAAACUGGCAGGCUAGAGUCUUGUAGAGGGGGGUAGAAUUCCAGGUGUAGCGGUGAAAUGCGUAGAGAUCUGGAGGAAUACCGGUGGCGAAGGCGGCCCCCUGGACAAAGACUGACGCUCAGGUGCGAAAGCGUGGGGAGCAAACAGG